rnacentral:ncRNA from 17 species
GGGAAGCCGGUGCAAGUCCGGCACGGUCCUCGCCACUGUGACCGGGGAGCGGACCCCCCACGACACCACUGGUGCACCUCGCGGAGCGCGGGACCACCGGGAAGGUCGGGGCGAGCGUCGAUCCGGGAGUCAGGAGACC